UCUAUUUUAGAAAAAGAAAUAGAUAUGGAAUAGAAUACGUUUUCUUCUAUUAUAUUAUUUAAAGGCGAAUAUAGCAAUAAAGUUGGAGAUGCUCUAAUAACUAGCAAUUAUUCUAAACAAUUUUUGUAUGUAUAACUUUAAUUUUUUUCCUUUAUUACAUACAUUAUUCAAAUGUUUUAACAUUAUAUAUAAUUUAAUUAAUACAAAAGAUUUGGUAUUUUCAUACUUUUAAUCUGUAUAGUAUGGGUAGCAUCAGUUUAUAUAACGUGGUGUACAAUUUAAAAGUUCAGCUCAGAGAUGAUAUCCACAUAUACAAUUCAUAUGAUGAACAAAAUUGUAACCAAUGAAUAUUUUCUUUAUUUCAAAAUAAUAAUUUGAAAAUGAAAUAUAGAGCUAGCUGCCUAGCUACAUUCCCCAAACAUUCAUUAGAUUUAGAAAAUCCAAAGAGUAAAUAAUUGGGGGUUCGAACGGUUACAUUACGUGUAUAUACAAUAUCCAUUGGGGCCAAUGCCUUAGGUACACAUACAAAUUAUAAUAAAAAUAGCACAAGAGGAGAAAAAUCCUCAAAAUAGCAUUAAUUAAAGGUUAAGAUAACUAAAUUACUCUUAACCUUAAACCCCC
rnacentral:lncRNA from 1 species